rnacentral:rRNA from 1 species
GAGUUCGAUCCUGGCUCAGAAUAAACGCUGGCGGCGUGCCUAACACAUGCAAGUCGAACGAGAAAGCCCGACUUCGGUUGGGCGAGUAAAGUGGCGCACGGGUGAGUAACGCGUAGGUAACCUGCCCCCAUGUUUGGGAUAACAGUGCGAAAGUGCUGCUAAUACCAGAUGUUGUCAAAAGGCGGUGGUCUUUUGGCCAAAGUCGGCCUCUCGAUGAAGCCGGCGCAAGGGGAUGGGCCUGCGUCCUAUCAGCUAGUUGGCAGGGUAACGGCCUACCAAGGCUACGACGGGUAGCUGGUCUGAGAGGAUGAUCAGCCACACUGGCACUGAAACACGGGCCAGACUCCUACGGGAGGCAGCAGUGAGGAAUUUUGCGCAAUGGCCGCAAGGCUGACGCAGCAACGCCGCGUGGGUGAAGAAGGCCUUCGGGUCGUAAAGCCCUGUCUGGUGGGAAGAACGAGCGGGGAAGUAAUAUUUUUCCGCAGUGACGGUACCACCGGAGGAAGCACCGGCUAACUCCGUGCCAGCAGCCGCGGUAAUACGGAGGGUGCAAGCGUUAUUCGGAUUACUGGCCUAAAGCGCGUGCAGGCGGCCG